rnacentral:tRNA from 1 species
GCCCGGUUAGCUCAAUCGGUAGAGCGUGAGACUGUAAGUUACCGCUUCCUCAAUUAGGAUUUCCAUUCAUCAACUAACAACAUUACCAGUUUACGUUCUAAAAGCAUACGAUUAUCUCAAGGCUGCGAGUUCGAGCCUCGCAUCGGGCG